AGUGAGGAAAAUUGGUCAAUGGUCGCAAGACUGAACCAGUCAUGCCGCGUGCAGGAAGACGGUCCUAUGGAUUGUAAACUGCUUUUAUACAGGAAGAAACCCUCCCACGUGUGGGAGCUUGACGGUACUGUAGGAAUAAGGAUCGGCUAACUCCGUGCCAGCAGCCGCGGUAAUACGGAGGAUCCAAGCGUUAUCCGGAAUCAUUGGGUUUAAAGGGUCCGUAGGCGGUCUUAUAAGUCAGUGGUGAAAGCCCAUCGCUCAACGAUGGAACUGCCAUUGAUACUGUAAGACUUGAAUGCUUAGGAAGUAACUAGAAUAUGUAGUGUAGCGGUGAUAUGCUUAAAUAUUACAUGGAAUACCAAUUGCGAAGGCAGGUUACUACUAAGUGAUUGACGCUGAUGGACGAAAGCGUGGGGAGCGAACAGGAUUAGAUACCCUGGUAGUCCACGCCGUAAACGAUGGAUACUAGCUGUUCGGAGCAAUCUGAGUGGCUAAGCGAAAGUGAUAAGUAUCCACCUGGGGAGUACGCACGCAAGUGUG
rnacentral:rRNA from 1 species